CCUACGGGUGGCAGCAGUGGGGAAUGGUGCGCAAUGAGCGGAAGAGGGACGCAGCGACGCAGCGGGAAUGACGAAGGCCGUCGGGUCGUAAAGGUCUUUCGACAGGGAAGAAAAUGCCUAUAAGUAACUGUGUAUGUAUUGACGGUACCUGUAUAAGCAGCCCCGGCUAACUCCGUGCCAGCAGCCGCGGUAAUACGGAGGAUGCGAGCGUUAUCCGGAUUGAUUGGGUUUAAAGGGUGCGCAGGCGGAAGAUCAAGUCAGCGGUAAAAUUGAGAGGCUCAACCGCUUCGCGCCGUUGAAACUGGUUUUCUUGAGUGAGUGAGAAGUAUGCGGAAUGCGUGGUGUAGCGGUGAAAUGCAUAGAUAUCACGCAGAACUCCGAUUGCGAAGGCAGCAUACCGGCGCUCAACUGACGCUCAUGCACGAAAGUGUGGGUAUCGAACCGGAUUAGAUACCCUUGUAGUC
rnacentral:rRNA from 1 species